GAUGAACGCUAGCGGGAGGCUUAACACAUGCAAGUCGAGGGGCAGCAUAGGGUAGCAAUACUCUGAUGGCGACCGGCAAACGGGUGAGUAACGCGUAUGUAACCUACCCUGUACAGGGGGAUAACCCGGAGAAAUUCGGACUAAUAUCCCAUAACAAUAUCCGGGGGCAUCUUUGGAUAUUUAAAGUUCCGGCGGUACGGGAUGGGCAUGCGUAACAUUAGCUAGUUGGUAAGGUAACGGCUUACCAAGGCUUUGAUGUUUAGGGGUCCUGAGAGGGUGGUCCCCCACACUGGUACUGAGACACGGACCAGACUCCUACGGGAGGCAGCAGUGAGGAAUAUUGGUCAAUGGGCGCAAGCCUGAACCAGCCAUCCCGCGUGCAGGAAGACGGCGCUAUGCG
rnacentral:rRNA from 1 species